UUCAUAACUGAUUGAGCCGGUAUGACAAGUUGUACCACCAAAAUAAGAAUAUUGUAGAUCAUCUAAACAGAAGUUCUGAAUCUAUGACAUUAUGACAAAAUGCAGUAAAAAAAUUCUGUCUUUUUAUCUUUAGUCGUUCCUGAGAUGCUGUGGUUCAAGCAGCCUUAAAUUUCAACGUGUGAAAAAACAAGCUGAAAGUGGGUCGACGGACUAUUUUUAAAAAGGCGUUAUUGCAAUAAGAUAUAUGAAGCUGAAAUUUCACAAAUAUAUCUAACAAUAUUGUCUGCUCUCAAGUUUUGAGGCAAAAUCAAGAGAUUUUUGAGCAGACAUUGUUCUUAAAAUGUGAAACCUGAACAGUUGAGGAUGUUGCAGCAGCAGAUUUCGAUGCAGCCUUUGGAAGUCCACAUACUUUUGGCCACGUAGUGUAAUUUAAACCUCAGUUAAAAACGGUUUAUGUUGUGAAUUAUUGGUGGUUUGUCGGAGCCUUGGGGGGACUAGUUUGUUGGUGUUCCUCAUCGUUUUGUAAUGUGACUGCUUUCACUUUAACAAACUCUAAUGUCAGUGCUGUUAAGGAUGAAAACGAGCAUUUACACCAGAGCGACGCCGCCCUUCGUUUUACUGUGUACGCUGUAAACCGGUGUAGGUUUAUACGCUGUUGCUCCACAUUUAUUGAUCACAUUUAUUGAUAUCUUACGGAUGGAUUUCUCAGAUUUCUCUUGGUUCAGUAUUCAACCAUCAGCAGAGAUUUAAGUGAUCCAUCAGCAGACGCUACAUACUGUUUAUUAGAUUCAAAGUGUUCUAGAUUAGAGCUGUAGAGUAUUAUUUAUUAGAGGUAGAAACUGGAACCCAUAAUAGGUUUACUAUGAUAUUAAUUAUUCCUGGAAGGAGAAGGCAAGCCAUUAAAGCGGGUACCACGUGUACAGUGUUACUGCUGCUGGAUUUGUAUGACAUGUGGGAUUAUUUAUUGUUGUUUAAGCCAUAAAAUAUUUAUUUUCUGCUUCACACCCAAGAUUUCAGCUCAGCUUUACGCCGCAAGCCACGAAAACAGACAAAAUCCGGCCUUCUUUGUUUGUUUUGUGUUUGUUUUCAGUGUUUUAUUUGGAAUAAACGGGACAGCUGACAGAAAAACCAUCGCUGCAUUGCACAUUUUACUGGUUUGUUAAAAAAACAGCAACAACUGAAGCCACAGCAUAAACACACACACAGACAACAGUUAAUGAUCCAAACCUCAGACAGUAAAUUCAGGAACACACAGACAAUAAAAACUGAUUUAUUGGUGCAACAACUCACAUUUAUUUCUGUUUCAGCAUCACAAGGCCGCCGCCGAUUGACUCUCUGGAGGUUUUAAUCAUUUCAACUCUCGCUCAGAUCAUUUAAAAAAAAUAUUGUACCCAAAUGUAAUUAAUGGGAAUCCUCGUUAGCCUUCUGUGUGUGUGUCAUGGAAAAGUUUUUAUAAACAUCCUUUUCUAAGAAA